UACGUAGGCAGCGAGCGUUGUUCGGAGUUACUGGGCGUAAAGAGUGCGUAGGUGGUUCUCUAAGUUUGGUGUGAAAUCUCCCGGCUCAACUGGGAGGGUGCGCCGAAAACUGGGGGACUAGAGUGUGGGAGAGGAAAGCGGAAUUCCUGGUGUAGCGGUGAAAUGCGUAGAUAUCAGGAGGAACACCUGCGGUGUAGACGGCUUUCUGGACCGCUACUGACGCUGAGGCACGAAAGUGUGGGGAGCAAACAGG
rnacentral:rRNA from 1 species